rnacentral:rRNA from 3 species
UGACAUCUUGACCUCAAAUCAGGUAGGAUUACCCGC